CUAGAAAUGAAUUAUAAAUGUAAUAGAUAGGUUCUACAAAGUGCAUGGACUCGCAAAUUAAAAAAAAAUAUAGGUAUGUUUAAUCGGUGCAAAACAAUAACCUUUCUAUCUGUCACCUAACUAACAUCAAAAGGGUUGUUUUAUAAUUUUUUCUACAGAUGCAAUGUCAUUUAAUCAAAUAGCAAAUCAGACAACACAACAUGUUAACUUGGUUGUAAAUAUUUAAUUCAUGCGGAAGAGUUUCAAAUACAUUUUAUAAAGAAUGUUAAUAUAUUUAAAACACUAUAUACCGAGAUUUUGUUAUAGGAAAAUGAAAGCCAGUGAAUAUAGCUAAACCUUAGUGAUAAUCAUAAGUUAAAGCAAGGCUAUCUCAGGUAGAAGACAUAUACAAAGAGGCAUAACAGACUCUUUGCUACAC
rnacentral:lncRNA from 1 species